rnacentral:rRNA from 1 species
GAUGAACGCUGGCGGCGUGCCUAAUACAUGCAAGUCGAGCGAACAGACGAGGAGCUUGCUCCUCUGACGUUAGCGGCGGACGGGUGAGUAACACGUGGAUAACCUACCUAUAAGACUGGGAUAACUUCGGGAAACCGGAGCUAAUACCGGAUAAUAUAUUGAACCGCAUGGUUCAAUAGUGAAAGACGGUUUUGCUGUAACUUAUAGAUGGAUCCGCGCCGCAUUAGCUAGUUGGUAAGGUAACGGCUUACCAAGGCGACGAUGCGUAGCCGACCUGAGAGGGUGAUCGGCCACACUGGAGCUGAGACACGGUCCAGACUCCUACGGGAGGCAGCAGUAGGGAAUCUUCCGCAAUGGGCGAAAGCCUGACGGAGCAACGCCGCGUGAGUGAUGAAGGUCUUCGGAUCGUAAAACUCUGUUAUUAGGGAAGAACAAAUGUGUAAGUAACUAUGCACGUCUUGACGGUACCUAAUCAGAAAGCCACGGCUAACUACGUG